rnacentral:lncRNA from 1 species
UUCAACCCUAUCUUUAAUUUUGUGUUAUAUACUAGUUCCUAUUAUUUAACUCACACAUGUCUUUAUCUUGUUUUAGUGUUACAAAAACCUCCAAAAAGAAAUCUUUAAUAAACCUAAACAUAAAGACUGACAGGUGUAAUAAGCCAAUUUCGCCCGGGCCCAAGACCAUACAAAAAAUAAAACAAAAAAAAAAGAAUAAAAGUCCAUUUACAACAAACCCAAUAGGCCCAAAUUACUAAACCCAAUAGCCUAAAUCCUAACCCUAGCCCACAAUGUUCUCAGGAAACAAAAAUGAAACCCUAGCUUGCUGCUGCCGCACCUAGUGCCAC